CACUGCCGACAUGCUACAUAGUCGAUAAGCUUCAGCUCUGCCAAGCGCGGAACAACCUACACCAAGUCCUAAAGUGUUGUGAUACUUGCUACGCAACCUAUGGAAUUGAAGAAAGUCAAGGUUAACAGCCUAGUGGUUACGCGGACUUGUCUGCUUCUGUAAGUAAGGCAUUCGGCUGCCAACCCUAUGGCUAACAACUUUGCAAAGUUCUACACCAACACAUACGGCUGCAUAGGCUACGCGAGCUUGUCUGCUUAUAAAAAAGUAGCAUGCCUGCCACUUGUCUAUCAAGUCUAAAGGUUAGGGCAUGAACAAAAGAAGUGAAGAUGAAGAAAAACGAAGGAAAACAUGUUUAUAAACAACUAGCAAAGGCCGAAGGAGUUCAAGCAAAACAAGAGCUACAAGGAAAAACAAAGAAAAUCCUAAAGGUUACCUAAAAUACUACACUACAGCAGCUUGGACAUCCCAUGACUACUCGGUCGCCACACCUUCAAUAGUCGUAACACUCUUAGCAGUGGCAUCAUCUGGCGCUUCACCCUCGGCUGCCUCAGCCUGGGCACUAACUUUCUCCAACUACUUCACCAAUGGAAGCCUUAAAAGUAAAAGCAAGCAAGUCUUCCGAAGAAAUAGAGAAGGUCUUAAAACCUCAAGCCCAUCAUUCUCACCCUUCAGCUGCUCAUUCUUCUUAAGCAGACUAGCACGGACGCGCUGCAGCUUGUUGAUGCACAAAAUCAGCGAAGACUUUGGUACAAUAGAAAGUGUCAGGUUUUGUGACCUUCGCUUGGUUGCUUCGGUCACUAGUGAGGAUAAGUACGUAAAUGAAUAGAGACAGAGAAGCAAACACAUGAUGUACGUGGUUCACCCAGAUUGGCUACGUCCACGGAGUAGAGGAGUUCUUAUUAGUAGUGAAGGGCUUACACAAGUACAAAGGAUCAAACUCUCAAUUUAGUGAGUUCUUGUGAAUGAUUUAACACAAAUGGCAUUCGCCAAUAUUGUGGGGGAAUGACCCCUAUUUAUAGAAAAACUUGUAGCUUUGUCACAUUGACAUGUGUCAUGUUAUGAUUGGUUCUUGAUGUCGACACGUGCUCCGCUCUGAUUGGCUU
rnacentral:lncRNA from 1 species